UGCUGAGUGUCUCAAGCAGCACUGACAGC
rnacentral:piRNA from 1 species